rnacentral:rRNA from 1 species
AUUGAACGCUGGCGGCAGGCCUAACACAUGCAAGUCGAGCGAGCGGCGGACGGGUGAGUAAUGUCUGGGAAACUGCCUGAUGGAGGGGGAUAACUACUGGAAACGGUAGCUCAUACCGCAUACCAUCAGAUGUGCCCAGAUGGGAGUAGCUAGGAGGGGGGGUAACGGCUCACCUAGGCGACGAGCCAUAGCUGGCCUGAGAGGAGGACCGGCCACACUGGAACUGAGACCCGGUCCAGACUCCUACGGGAGGCAGCAGUGGGGAAUAUUGCACCAUGGGCGCAAGCCUGAUGCCGCCAUGCCGCGUGUGUGAAGAAGGCCUUCGGGUUUUAAAGCACUUUCAGCGGGGAGGCGUUACCCGCAGAAGAAGCACCGGCUAACUCCGUGCCAGCAGCCGCGGUAAUAC